rnacentral:rRNA from 1 species
UCUGCUAAAGAGGAGGAAGGAAUGGGCAACGGUAGGUCAGCAUGCCCCGAAUUAUCCGGGCUACACGCGGGCUACAAUGGUCAGGACAAUGGGUAUCGACACCGAGAGGUGGAGGCAAUCUCCUAAACCUGUCCUUAGUUCGGAUUGUGGGCUGCAACUCGCCCACAUGAAGCUGGAAUCCGUAGUAAUCGCGUUUCAAAAUAGCGCGGUGAAUAUGUCCCUGCUCCUU